rnacentral:rRNA from 1 species
ACGAACGCUGGCGGCAUGCCUAACACCUGCAAGUCGAACGAGACCUUCGGGUCUAGUGGCGCACGGGUGCGUAACGCGUGGGAACCUGCCCUUAGGUUCGGAAUAACUCCCCGAAAGGGGUGCUAAUACCGGAUAAUGUCUUCGGACCAAAGAUUUAUCGCCUUUGGAUGGGCCCGCGUUGGAUUAGCUAGUUGGUAGGGUAAAAGCCUACCAAGGCGACGAUCCAUAGCUGGUCUGAGAGGAUGAUCAGCCACACUGGGACUGAGACACGGCCCAGACUCCUACGGGAGGCAGCAGUGGGGAAUAUUGGACAAUGGGCGAAAGCCUGAUCCUGCAAUGCCGCGUGAGUGAUGAAGGCCUUAGGGUUGUAAAGCUCUUUUACCCGGGAUGAUAAUGACAGUACCGGGAGAAUAAGCUCCGGCUAACUCCGUG